rnacentral:rRNA from 1 species
UACGUAGGGUGCAAGCGUUGUCCGGAAUUAUUGGGCGUAAAGAGCUCGUAGGCGGCUUGUCACGUCGGGUGUGAAAGCCCGGGGCUUAACCCCGGGUCUGCAUUCGAUACGGGCUGGCUAGAGUGUGGUAGGGGAGAUCGGAAUUCCUGGUGUAGCGGUGAAAUGCGUAGAUAUCGGGAGGAACACCAGUGGCGAAGGCGACUUCCUGGCCUGUUCUUGACGCUGAGGCGCGAAAGCUAGGGUAGCAAACGGG